AACGAACGCUGGCGGCAGGCCUAACACAUGCAAGUCGAACGCUGUAGCAAUACAGAGUGGCAGACGGGUGAGUAACACGUGGGAACCUACCUAUUGGUACGGAAUAGCUCAGGGAAACUUGAGGUAAUACCGUAUACGCCCUUACGGGAAGAUUAUCGCCGAUAGAUGGGCCCGCGUCUGAUUAGCUAGUUGGUGAGGUAAUGGCUCACCAAGGCGACGAUCAGUAGCUGGUUUGAGAGAAUGACCAGCCACACUGGGACUGAGACACGGCCCAGACUCUACGGGAGGCAGCAGUGGGGAAUCUUGGACAAUGGGCGCAAGCCUGAUCCAGCCAUGCCGCGU
rnacentral:rRNA from 1 species